GACCUUGUGGCGCAAUGGUAGCGUGUCUGACUCCAGAUCAGAAGGCUGUGUGUUCAAAUCACACCAGGGUCA
rnacentral:tRNA from 2 species